UUUCCAGCAGCCGCGGUAAUACAGAGGGGGCAAGCGUUGUUCGGAAUUACUGGGCGUAAAGGGCGCGUAGGCGGCCGCCUAAGUCAGACGUGAAAUCCCUCGGCUCAACCGGGGAACUGCGUCUGAUACUGGGUGGCUUGAAUUCGGGAGAGGGAUGCGGAAUUCCAGGUGUAGCGGUGAAAUGCGUAGAUAUCUGGAGGAACACCGGUGGCGAAGGCGGCAUCCUGGACCGAGAUUGACGCUGAGGCGCGAAAGCCAGGGGAGCAAACGGGAUUAGAAACCCCGGUAGUCC
rnacentral:rRNA from 1 species